rnacentral:rRNA from 1 species
AACGAACGCUGGCGGCAUGCCUAACACAUGCAAGUCGAACGAGAUCUUCGGGUCUAGUGGCGCACGGGUGCGUAACGCGUGGGAAUCUGCCCUUUGGUUCGGAAUAACAGUUGGAAACGACUGCUAAUACCGGAUGAUGACGAAAGUCCAAAGAUUUAUCGCCAGAGGAUGAGCCCGCGUAGGAUUAGCUAGUUGGUGUGGUAAAGGCGCACCAAGGCGACGAUCCUUAGCUGGUCUGAGAGGAUGAUCAGCCACACUGGGACUGAGACACGGCCCAGACUCCUACGGGAGGCAGCAGUGGGGAAUAUUGGACAAUGGGUGAAAGCCUGAUCCAGCAAUGCCGCGUGAGUGAUGAAGGCCUUAGGGUUGUAAAGCUCUUUUACCCGGGAUGAUAAUGGCAGUACCGGGAGAAUAAGCUCCGGCUAACUCCGUGCCAGCCGCCGCAGUAACAC